UACGUAGGGUCCGAGCGUUGUCCGGAGUUACUGGGCGUAAAGCGCGCGCAGGCGGCGGUGUUGGCCCGGCGUGAAAGCCCCCGGCUCAACCGGGGAGAGUCGUCGGGGACCGCACCGCUUGAGGGCGGUAGGGGCUGGUGGAAUGCCUGGUGUAGUGGUGAAAUGCGUAGAGAUCAGGCAGAACACCUGGGGCGAAGGCGGCCAGCUGGGCCGCCCCUGACGCUGAGGCGCGAAGGCGUGGGGAGCGAACGGG
rnacentral:rRNA from 1 species